rnacentral:rRNA from 1 species
CCUACGGGUGGCAGCAGUGAGGAAUAUUGUUCAAUGGGCGCGAGCCUGAACCAGCCAAGUAGCGUGAAGGAUGAAUGCCCUAGGGGUUGUAAACCUCUUUUAUAAAGGAGUAAAUGGAGGCACGUGUGCCUUUUUGUAUGGACUUUAUGAAGAAGGAUGGGCUAACACUGUGCAAGCAGCCGCGGUAAUACGGAGGAUCCGAGCGUUAUCCGGAUUUAUUGGGGUUAAAGGGAGCGUAGAUGGGUUGUUAAGUCAGUUGUGAAAGUUUGCGGCUCAACCGUAAAAUUGCAAUUGAAACUGGCAGUCUUGAGUACAGUUGAGGUAGGCGGAAUUCGUGGUGUAGCGGUGAAAUGCUUAGAGAUCACGAAGAACUCCGAUUGCGAAGGCAGCUUACUAGACUGCCACUGACACUGAUGCUCGAAAGUGUGGGUAUCAAACAGGAUUAGAUACCCGAGUAGUC